rnacentral:rRNA from 1 species
GAUGAACGCUGGCGGCGUGCCUAACACAUGCAAGUCGAGCGAAGCGCUUAAAUUAGAUUUCUUCGGAAUGACGAUUUUUGUGACUGAGCGGCGGACGGGUGAGUAACGCGUGGGUAACCUGCCUCAUACAGGGGGAUAACAGUUAGAAAUGACUGCUAAUACCGCAUAAGACCCCAGCUUCGCAUGAAGCGGUGGUAAAAACUCCGGUGGUAUGAGAUGGACCCGCGUCUGAUUAGCUAGUUGGUAAGGUAACGGCUUACCAAGGCGACGAUCAGUAGCCGACCUGAGAGGGUGACCGGCCACAUUGGGACUGAGACACGGCCCAGACUCCUGCGGGAGGCAGCAGUGGGGAAUAUUGCACAAUGGGGGAAACCCUGAUGCAGCGACGCCGCGUGAAGGAUGAAGUAUUUCGGUAUGUAAACUUCUAUCAGCAGGGAAGAAAGUGACGGUACCUGACUAAGAAGCCCCGGCUAACUACGCG